GAGGGUAUAGCUCAGUGGUAGAAUGCAUGCCUAGCAUGCAAAAAGUCCUGGGUCCAAUCCCUAGUACCUCCA
rfam:Camelus ferus unplaced genomic scaffold scaffold140, whole genome shotgun sequence.